rnacentral:hammerhead_ribozyme from 1 species
GUACUGCUGGAGAGUCCCAAACUAGGACGAAACAGAUGUCCAGUAC